rnacentral:rRNA from 1 species
UUAAGUUAAUAAGGGCGCACGGUGGAUGCCUUGGCACUAGAAGCCGAUGAAGGACGUGACUAACGACGAAAUGCUUUGGGGAGCUGUAAGUGAGCAAUGAUCCAGAGAUGUCCGAAUGGGGGAACCCGGCAGGUAAUGCCUGUCACUCAUUACUGUUAAGGUAAUGUAGAGGAAGACGCAGUGAACUGAAACAUCUAAGUAGCUGUAGGAAGAGAAAGCAAAAGCGAUUGCCUUAGUAGCGGCGAGCGAAACGGCAAGAGGGCAAACCGAAGAGUUUACUCUUCGGGGUUGUAGGACUGCAACGUGGACUUAAAGAUUAUAGAAGAACUACCUGGGAAGGUAGGCCAAAGAGAGUAAUAGCCUCGUAUUCGAAAUAGUCUUUAUACCUAGCAGUAUCCUGAGUACGGCGAGACACGAGAAAUCUCGUCGGAAUCUGGGAGGACCAUCUCCCAACCCUAAAUACUCUCUAGUGACCGAUAGUGAACCAGUACCGUGAGGGAAAGGUGAAAAGCACCCCGGGAGGGGAGUGAAAUAGAACCUGAAACCGUGUGCCUACAACAAGUUCGAGCCCGUUAAUGGGUGAGAGCGUGCCUUUUGUAGAAUGAACCGGCGAGUUACGAUAUGAUGCGAGGUUAAGUUGAAGAGACGGAGCCGUAGGGAAACCGAGUCUGAAUAGGGCGCAUUAGUAUUAUGUCGUAGACCCGAAUCCAUGUGACCUACCCAUGAGCAGGUUGAAGGUGAGGUAAAACUCACUGGAGGACCGAACCAGGGCACGUUGAAAAGUGCUUGGAUGACUUGUGGGUAGCGGAGAAAUUCCAAACGAACUUGGAGAUAGCUGGUUCUCUCCGAAAUAGCUUUAGGGCUAGCGUCGAUGUUAAGUCUCUUGGAGGUAGAGCACUGUUUGGGUGAGGGGUCCAUCCCGGAUUACCAAUCUCAGAUAAACUCCGAAUGCCAAUGAGAUAUAAUCGGCAGUCAGACUGCGAGUGCUAAGAUCCGUAGUCGAAAGGGAAACAGCCCAGACCACCAGCUAAGGUCCCAAAAUAUAUGUUAAGUGGAAAAGGAUGUGGGGUUGCACAGACAACCAGGAUGUUAGCUUAGAAGCAGCUAUUCAUUCAAAGAGUGCGUAAUAGCUCACUAGUCGAGUGACCCUGCGCCGAAAAUGUACCGGGGCUAAAACAUAUUACCGAAGCUGUGGAUACCUUUAUAGGUAUGGUAGGAGAGCGUUCUAUGUGCGAAGAAGGUGUACCGUGAGGAGUGCUGGAGCGCAUAGAAGUGAGAAUGCCGGUAUGAGUAGCGAAAGACAGGUGAGAAUCCUGUCCACCGUAAGACUAAGGUUUCCAGGGGAAGGUUCGUCCGCCCUGGGUUAGUCGGGACCUAAGGAGAGACCGAAAGGUGUAUCCGAUGGACAACAGGUUGAUAUUCCUGUACUAGAGUAUAUAGUGAUGGAGGGACGCAGUAGGCUAACUAAACCAGACGAUUGGAAGUGUCUGGCCAAGCAGUGAGGUGUGAUAUGAGUCAAAUGCUUAUAUCUUUAACAUUGAGCUGUGAUGGGGAGCGAAGUUUAGUAGCGAAGUUAGUGAUGUCACACUGCCGAGAAAAGCUUCUAGCGUUAAUUAUACUCUACCCGUACCGCAAACCGACACAGGUAGUCGAGGCGAGUAGCCUCAGGUGAGCGAGAGAACUCUCGUUAAGGAACUCGGCAAAAUGGCCCCGUAACUUCGGGAGAAGGGGCGCUGACUGAUGGUCAGCCGCAGUGAAUAGGCCCAAGCAACUGUUUAUCAAAAACACAGCUCUCUGCUAAAUCGUAAGAUGAUGUAUAGGGGGUGACGCCUGCCCGGUGCUGGAAGGUUAAGAGGAGUGCUUAGCGUAAGCGAAGGCAUGAAUUGAAGCCCCAGUAAACGGCGGCCGUAACUAUAACGGUCCUAAGGUAGCGAAAUUCCUUGUCGGGUAAGUUCCGACCCGCACGAAAGGCGUAAUGAUUUGGGCACUGUCUCAACGAGAGACUCGGUGAAAUUUUAGUACCUGUGAAGAUGCAGGUUACCCGCGACAGGACGGAAAGACCCCAUGGAGCUUUACUGCAGUUUGAUAUUGAGUAUCUGUACCACAUGUACAGGAUAGGUAGGAGCCUAUGACCUCGGGACGCCAGUUUCGAGUGAGGCGUUGUUGGGAUACUACCCUUGUGUUAUGGCUACUCUAACCCAGAUAGGUUAUCCCUAUCGGAGACAGUGUCUGACGGGCAGUUUGACUGGGGCGGUCGCCUCCUAAAAGGUAACGGAGGCGCCCAAAGGUUCCCUCAGAAUGGUUGGAAAUCAUUCGCAGAGUGUAAAGGUAUAAGGGAGCUUGACUGCGAGAGCUACAACUCGAGCAGGGACGAAAGUCGGGCUUAGUGAUCCGGUGGUUCCGUAUGGAAGGGCCAUCGCUCAACGGAUAAAAGCUACCCUGGGGAUAACAGGCUUAUCUCCCCCAAGAGUUCACAUCGACGGGGAGGUUUGGCACCUCGAUGUCGGCUCGUCGCAUCCUGGGGCUGUAGUCGGUCCCAAGGGUUGGGCUGUUCGCCCAUUAAAGCGGCACGCGAGCUGGGUUCAGAACGUCGUGAGACAGUUCGGUCCCUAUCCGUCGUGGGCGUAGGAAAUUUGAGAGGAUCUGCUCCUAGUACGAGAGGACCAGAGUGGACUUACCGCUGGUGUACCAGUUGUUCUGCCAAGAGCAUCGCUGGGU